AUUGAACGCCGGCGGCAUGCCUUACACAUGCAAGUCGAACGGCAGCACGGGAGCAAUCCUGGUGGCGAGUGGCGAACGGGUGAGUAAAGUAUCGGAACGUGCCCAGUCGUGGGGGAUAACGUAGCGAAAGUUACGCCAAUACCGCAUACGAUCUAUGGAUGAAAGCGGGGGAUCGCAAGACCUCGCGCGAUUGGAGCGGCCGAUAUCAGAUUAGGUAGUUGGUGGGGUAAAGGCUCACCAAGCCGACGAUCUGUAGCUGGUCUGAGAGGACGACCAGCCACACUGGGACUGAGACACGGCCCAGACUCCUACGGGAGGCAGCAGUGGGGAAUUUUGGACAAUGGGCGAAAGCCUGAUCCAGCCAUGCCGCGUGCAGGAUGAAGGCCUUCGGGUUGUAAACUGCUUUUGUACGGAACGAAAAGGUUUGGCCUAAUAAGCUGAGCUCAUGACGGUACCGUAAGAAUAAGCACCGGCUAACUACGUGCCAGCAGCCGCGGUAA
rnacentral:rRNA from 1 species